CCCGGUGGAGCGGCCCCGCCGACCCUCCGCUCCGCACCAGCGGGCAGCUCGGGCUGGGCCGAGCCGCUCCGCAAGGCCACCCCUUCCAAUUCUCGCCGCCCAGCGCCAGCACGCUGUUCCUGUAAAGUUGGAGGCGUGUCUUUAAAAACCGAGAAUUCCCCUCUCUCUUGCAGUAGCAGAAAAGUAUGCACCUCUGUCUGUUGUGUUGUGGAACAGCAGUGCUGAAUGAAGCACUGGCCUUUUCUGUUUCAUUUACCAGGGAGAGCCUUGGACAACAACUUGCUGAUUGCUGAGUGAAUUUGAAGAUAUGAAAAACCACAGCAUAGUGUAACAAUGAAGGAAUAGUAUCAAGAUCUGACCUUGAUGCAUUUAUUCAUGUGCUUGAAGUUACACAAGUCUUUUGCUCUGUUUACCACAGUAACUAGCGUGAGGAAAUUAUCUACAGUGCAUCAUCUGAAUGUGUCCAGUGUUUUGUGCAACUACACUCUCUAAGAAGAGGAUAACACAACAGGACUUCUGCCACAAGCACCUUUCUUUUGUGAUGUCACAAAUUUGUUGCAGGGUCUCCUCAUCAACGGCUUCCAGGCCCUGCCCAUGUUGGUUGUUAACAUCACCAAAAGAAGUAAGCUUGAUGGGGGCAUCCUGGUGACAGUGGGACCUCUGUCCUUUCAUUCCGUCAUCCUUCCACACCUCCAGGCAGAGCAUCAUUGGGCAGCAUCCACCUGCUCCUUGGUUAACCUUCGAGAAGCGACAGGUGAUGUCAGGGCUUCUCUGCUUCAUGCCCUCCUCCAGUUCCCUAUCUGUGUAUUUCCAGUCUUGUAACUCUUCCCUUUCUAUCAUUUGUUGUUCAUUGCUGUUCAAUUUUUUCUCCUUGUUUUCAUUACCUAUAGCCCUCUCCCUCCCUAGGGGGCCUUCAAGGUUUUGCUAAUACAUACCUAAACAGAAAAACAAAUAGAAACAGCAGCAGUAGGAGAAACUAUUCAUAGAGUGCACGCAAGCUUGGCCACCUUCUUCAAACCAUGUUCUUUGUACUCCCCUAGCUUCCAUGGCUCUUAUGAAGAUAAAUCGUUGCUUAGUCCUUUCACUAUCCAUUUUUUGGAUUUUUUGUAUGUGAACUUAUCCAAUUCUUGUCUGAACCUACUGUUGGGAUCUGCUGCCACAACCUCUUUCAACAGCAAGUCUAAAAAUACACUAGCCACUGUUUAAAGUAAUGUGUUAUUUUUAUCUGUUUUAAUUUAAUUCCACCAAAUGAGCCAAAAUUGUAAUGUGGUGAAAAAUGGUUCUGUAUUCAUCUUUUUAGCCACCUCUGUGAUUUCAUAAACAAGUCUUGCCACAGCGCUCUCCCAGUUGAUAAUUUUUUAGUCUGAUCUCAUAAGACGGCCGCUACCUUUAAUCCCUUUAAUAAUUGCAAUUGUUUGCUAUGUAUCUUCCCUAACUUUUAUCAGGUCCUGUUCCAGAUACUAAGACCAAAACUGUAGAGCAUUCAAAAUGUGGAUACAAUAGAGUUGCAUUAGAGUUAAGGCAAAAUGAUGCUUUCUCACUACCAUUUCAGAUUAUGCUAAACACUGGGUUUUGCCUCUUGUUUGACAAACCCACGCAGGGAUUUCAGCGAAUUUCAAUCUCAAGAACUUUAACGUUUCUGAGCUGUAUCUGGUCAUUAGAUCUUGAAGUGCUUUGUGACAAUUUGUGUGCUUCAGAGAAAGCUAAUUAAAUACUGUUGUUAAAUUUUAGAAGCAAUGUUUACCAGAAUUUCAUUCUGAAUCCCAUAAAUGAUUACUUUUUACCGUUUUUCAUAUCAUCCAUGAAUAUGUCUAUUGGUCCCAGUGCUGUAGGUCUUCCAAAGGAACAGCUAAACUUGAAGUGGAAUUCUAGUUUAAAUAAGCUCAAAUGUGUCUUUAGUAUAAGGCAGACAAGGUGAAAACACUGUAGAUCUUAGCUAGGAAGACAGCAGAGAGAGCAAAUUGGAAUUAUUUUUGGAUCAGUACCUGAGUCCUAUGAUAGAAAAGCCAGCUGCUUCUUCUGUGGUUGGUGAUCUCCAUGCUCAGUGCAGAAGAAGGAGGGGAAUGAGUGCUCCUUAAACAUCACUGAAAUUUUCAUAGGUUUUUGGUUUUUUUCUUAAUUUUUAAGUUUUCAGUGCCCAAAUACCAAAAGUGAACAAUUAAAGGUUUUUAUCAGAGACUUCAUGACUUUGAGCUGUUUGUGUGUGUAUGUGUGCAGACAUCCUGUAUAUGAUGCACUCUUUGACUUGAAGGCCUUGCACUCAAACAAACAGGUACUGGGUGAGGAAAGAAAUUUGUUCAUAUCCAUUUUACAUAGAGGCAUAAUGGCUAUCUAGCAAUCAGACAUUUUGCAUAUUACAUUUUGCUUAGCACAUUAGUUCUUACCUAUUCAAUAUCCACAUGAAACAGCAAUGUAUGACACCUGUAAAGGCAAUUGCAGAAACAGACAGCAGGCUAUUCUUUUAUAAGGUUCUUUGCUGGUUUAGUUUUGUAUUUUAAAAAUCCAGAUAUUUUAAAUUCAUUUUAUAGCAAAUUAAAGACGGCGCUACCCGUUGGGUAUUUUUAGGGGGGAAUGUUGUAAAAUAUCCAAAGAAUAAGUAAAAUGUCCAUUUAAAAAUGAAGAAUUUCACACCAUUCUAUUCUUAUGAAUGCUGAUUACUGGGGAGGAAAGGGUUGUUAAUGUGAAAUCUCUAUGUCCUUUUAGAGCAACUCUGUUAUUAAAAGGAGACAUGUUUGAAGAGUGAAUCUUUUGCUAAUGAUGAGCAUCCCCUUUCCAUUUUGCCUUCAAAUGGAAGAUCUGUUUUGUUUUUUUUUUUAAAUUCAGGGAGGAGGUGGUUACAGCAAAGUUGUGCUUUAAAUGAAAAAUUUGAUAAAGCCACCCUUUUUUUCAAUUUCAGAUCAUGUUUACUGAAGCAUGUUUCUCCUGAUUGCUCUAUAUAAAGUCCUUUCUAAUGUUAUGAUUGAUGCCUCUAAAUACACAGGCAGUGAGAUGGCAAUCACCAAGAAGGGAGAAAAGACAUGAAUAAAUUUAGAGUUGAAAUUCAGAACGUUUCUAAUCAUCAGAAGAAUCAGGUUCUGGAACAGUUUUUCAACAGAAAUCAU